rnacentral:rRNA from 1 species
CAGUAGCCGCGGUAAUACGAAGGGUGCAAGCGUUAAUCGGAAUUACUGGGCGUAAAGCGCGCGUAGGUGGUUUGGUAAGAAGGAUGUGAAAUCCCCGGGCUCAACCUGGGAACUGCAUCCAUAACUGCCUGACUAGAGUACGGUAGAGGGUGGUGGAAUUUCCUGUGUAGCGGUGAAAUGCGUAGAUAUAGGAAGGAACACCAGUGGCGAAGGCGACCACCUGGACUGAUACUGACACUGAGGUGCGAAAGCGUGGGGAGCAAACAGGAUUAGAUACCCCAGUAGUCCCUGUCUCUUAUAC